rnacentral:rRNA from 1 species
UACAGAGGUCCCAAGCGUUGUUCGGAUUCAUUGGGCGUAAAGGGUGCGUAGGCGGCGCGGUAAGUCGGGUGUGAAAUCUCGGGGCUUAACUCCGAAACUGCAUUCGAUACUGCCGUGCUUGAGGACUGGAGAGGAGACUGGAAUUUACGGUGUAGCGGUGAAAUGCGUAGAUAUCGUAAGGAAGACCAGUGGCGAAGGCGAUUCUCUGGGCAGUUCCUGACACUGAGGCACGAAGGCUAGGGGAGCAAACGGG